UCCCUGGCAGUCCAGUGGGUAGGACUCGGCACUUUUACUGCCGUGGCCUGGGUUCAAUCCCUGGUCAGGGAA